rnacentral:tRNA from 1 species
GGAGGGGUGGCUGAGUGGUCGAAAGCACCGGUCUUGAAAACCGACGUAUCGCAAGGUACCCAGGGUUCGAAUCCCUGCCCCUCCGCCA